UACGUAGGGGGCAAGCGUUGUCCGGAUUUAUUGGGCGUAAAGGGCUCGUAGGUGGCCAACUAAGUCAGACGUGAAAUCCCUCGGCUCAACCGGGGAACUGCAUCUGAUACUGGAUGGCUUGAGAUUGGGAGAGGGAUGCGGAAUUCCAGGUGUAGCGGUGAAAUGCGUAGAUAUCUGGAGGAACACCGGUGGCGAAGGCGGCAUCCUGGACCAACACUGACGCUGAGGAGCGAAAGCCAGGGGAGCAAACGGG
rnacentral:rRNA from 1 species